rnacentral:rRNA from 1 species
UACAGAGGGUGCAAGCGUUGCUCGGAAUCAUUGGGCGUAAAGGGUAGGUAGGUGGUCUCGUUUGUCUGGGGUGAAAGCCCAGGGCUUAACCCUGGAAGUGCCCCAGAAACGGCGAGACUAGAGUAUUGGAGAGGGUCGUGGAAUUCCCGGUGUAGCGGUGAAAUGCGUAGAUAUCAGGAGGAAUACCGAUGGCGAAGGCAGGUCUCUGGGCUGACACUGACGCUCAUGCACGAAAGCGUGGGGAGCAGACAGG